AACUUGUAUUUAAUAAUAUUAACCUAACUUUAAAUUGUAAGUAGGUACUCAUAUGUUAAUACAAUAUAUAAUCGUUUAAAAAAUAUACUUUGUGUGUUUUAAAUGCGAAUAUUAUUAAAUUGUUUGAACCCAAAUGAUCAAAUCAUUACUACUAAUAGAUCGAUAAGAAAAGCAUGAUGUUGUCACUAAUCGUUAUAACUACAAGUGAAUCAUGCAAGAUGGUGGGGACUGGGGAUAAUCGGAUUAUACUGUUAUUUAUUAACGAAAAUGUAAAAGAAUUUUUUUCCGUCUUCUCCUUUAUUGGGUCUUGUCAAUUACAGCUCUUAAUUACAACUCAUGUACAAUACGUAUCGAAAUGUUUAGAAAAAUAUUACUCUCUUUUCGAAUCCGGAUUUUAAAUCUAUAUGCGAACAAUUUGAAGUCCACGAACUCAUCGUAUAGAUGAAUCGCUAUAGUUCGUGAUUAAAACAAAAAAAUGUCCUGUGUUUUUGACUGCGAUUUAUAUU